rnacentral:misc_RNA from 1 species
AACGCACCUUGCGCUCCUUGGUAUUCCUUGGAGCAUGCCUGUUUGAGUAUCAUGAGCAAAUCUCAAAGUCGAUCCUUUUGUUAAUUCAAUUGGUUUUGCUUUGGACUUGGAGGUCUUGCAGAUUUCACCAUCUGCUCCUCUUAAAUGUAUUAGCUGGAUCUCAGUAUUAUGCUUGGUUCCACUCGGCGUGAUAAGUAUCACUCGCUGAGGACACUGGUUAAAAAAGGUGGCCAGGAAAAUACUGAUUGAACCGCUUCUAACGGUCUAUUAACUUAGACAAUUACCCCUUAAGUUUGAUCUCAAAUCAGGUAGGACUACCCGCUGAACUUAA